rnacentral:rRNA from 1 species
UGAUAAUUUUAAUGGCCGCAGUAUUUUGACUGUGCAAAGGUAGCAUAAUCAUUAGUUUCUUAAUUAGAAACUAGAAUGAAAGGUUGAACGAAAAAGUAACUGUCUCUUUAUAAUUUUUUUAGAAUUUUAUUUUUAAGUUAAAAAGCUUAAAUAAGUUUGAAAGACGAGAAGACCCUAUAGAGUUUAAUAUUUUAUUAAUUAAAUUUUAAAAUAGAAUUAUUAUUAUUUGAUUAAAAAAAGUAUUUGAUUGGGGUGAUUGAAAAAUUUAGUUAACUUUUUUUUUAUUAAGACAUAUAUAAAUGAUUAAUUGAUCCAUUAUUAAUGAUUAUAAGAUUAAAUUACCUUAGGGAUAACAGCGUAAUUUUUUUUAAGAGUUCUUAUCGAUAAAAAAGUUUGCGACCUCGAUGUUGGAUUAAAAUAAAUUUUUGGUGUAGAAGCUAAAAAAUUAGGUCUGUUCGACCUUUAAAAUUUU